CGGUCAGACCUCUGCGCAUGCGCAGUCGAUCAAACGGGAAACUAUCAGCUGAUGCGGAAAUCCUGAGCAACAUGCAGAAUGCUGCCGGAAAGUUAGGUGGGCUGACAGCGCCUAUGGAGAGGAGUGAACAGUCGGCGUUUCAGACCGACACCAAUCCUUAGGACUUGAAAGGAAGGGACGGAGUGAGGUGAUAGGUGAAACCGAGAGAGGAAAAUAAACUGUGGUAUACGCUUACUGCAUUUGGUAGGAAAGAGUUUCUGUAACAAUCCUUGUGACACAAAUGUGAUUCUGACAAUGCCAUCAGCAUGAUCCCAGUGGGAGUGAGCUCGCUGCAACAGGUAGAUGAUGACAUCAUUUACACCCUCAUGACGUUGGUAGGCAAACUGCAGAGGGUCCAAGGGAUUCACUAGGCCAUUGUACCUGCAGCAAAUUCACACUGGGGAGAGACCGCUCGCCUGCUCAGUGCGUGAGGAAGGAUUCAUCCAAACAGCAGAUCUGCAGAAAUACCAAGGAGAUCACACUGGGAAGAGCCUGUACACCCGCCCCAUCCAUGGGAAAGGAUUCACCCAAACAUCCGACUUCAGAAAUACCAGGCUGGUCACACUGUGGGGAGCCCGUUCACCUGCUCCGAGUGUGGGAAGGGUUCAUUCAGUUACCCAAACUACUGAAACACUAGCCAUUUCAUACAGCUGUACACCUGUUUGGAGAGUGGGCUGCGCUUCAUUCAGUUAACCCACCUUGAGACGCUCCAGUGUGUUCAAAUAAGUAGAGGCCACACUUCUGUCCUGAGUGAGCACAGAGAUUUACUCAGUCAACCCACCUGCUGAAACACCAGCAACUUCACACCAGGAAGUUCAAGAAAGCUGUCUGUUAAAUGCUUAAACAUGAUGGUGACUAAAUCCAGUUGUGAGUUGACGAGGAAGUGUUAAUGUCAGAUUCUGCAGAUACUGCAGCAGCUCCUCAUACCCAGGUCUGAACCCUGGUCACUCAGCAUUGCAGGGGAUUGUUAGACCAGAACUCCAUAAGAUACAGGAGCACAUUCAGGUCAUUCGGCCCAUUGAGUCUGCACUGGCAUUUCAUCAGGGCUCAAUGUCGGUUCAUUGCUCAACACCCAAUCUGGAAUAGCUGAUCUCCAAUAGGUUCAACCACCAGCUGCUCUGAACAGACAUCUCGUAGGCAGUCUACAAAUUUCCCUCUUGGUAAUCAACACUGACCUGAUUAUCCCCCAUGACUAUCAUAACUUUGCAACUUUGACUUGCAUUUUCUGUCUCCUGUUGUAAUUUGUAGACCACAUCAUUACGACUGUUAGGGGUCUGUAUAUAAACUCACUUGGGAUUUUAUUACACUUAAAGUUUCUUCGCUCUAUCCACAGAGUAUCUACAUCUUCUGAUCUUAUGUCGCCUCUUUCUUUCAAUGAUUUGGUUUCAUAUUUACCAGCAGACCCACCCACCCCAUUUGCCUACCUACCUGUCCUUUUGAUACAAUAUGACUCCUUGAAUGUUAAGUUCCUAGCUAUAAUCUUCCGUCAGCCACAUAGAGUGAUGCACACAAUUCACAUCAUGCUACUAGUUCACUCUGUUAUUAUGUAUGCUGCGCACAUACAAAUAGAACACUUUCUGUCAUGCAUUCAACACUCUUAUUGAUGUUGUCCCACUUUAAUGCUGCAACUCAUUCCAUUGACUGUAAUUUUGCUGACAUCAGCCUCCCCUUGCUAGUACUCUCACAGCACAGUACGUCUAUUUGCCAACCAACUACCUCAUCCUCAGCACUAUCUCUCCGGUUUCCAUUCCUUUGACAAAUUAUUUUAAACACUAGCUCUAACAACCCUGCCCACGAGAAUAUUGGACACUGCCAGAUUUAGGUGCAACCCGUCCCCUUUGAACAGAUUGUUCCUUCCCUAGAAGAGAUCCCAAUGUUCCAAAAAUGUGAUCCAUUGCCUCUGCACCAGUUUCUCAGCCACACAUUCAUCUGCUGAAUCAUCCUGUUCUUACCUUCACUGAUGUAUGGCGUGGGCAGCAGUCCUGAGACUAUUAACCUGGAUCACCUACUUUUAAGCUUUCUACCCAGCCACCUAAAAAGUCUCUUGAGGAUUUCCUUAUGCUUCCUAUCCAUGUGAUUGAUGCCAACAUGUACCAAGACUUCUGGCUGCUCACCCUCCACCUUCAGAGUGCUGUAGACCCAAUCCGAGACAUCCUUGACGAUGGCAACUGUGACACCCCACUAGGGUAUCUCUCCUGCAUUCACAGAACCUCAUCUCUAUUCCUCUGACUAUGGAAACUCCGAUCACUACUGUAGUUUUCAACACUUCUGUUCUCUUCGGAGUCACGGCACCAAACACAGUUCCCGAAACCUGGUCACUGACCUAGUUGUGAGUGGCCUGCCACUGUGCCUGGGGUAUGUUACCCAGGUUUCCCUGCAUUUUGGAUAUGGAAAUGGAUAUGGACUGUGGACAUUCUAGAUAUGGAAAUGGAUAUGGACUGUGGACAUUAUAGAUAUGGAAAUGGAUAUGGACUGUGGACAUUCUAGAUAUGGAAAUGGAUAUUGACUUGGACUAUGGACUGUGGACAUUCUAGAUAUGGAAAUUGAUAUGGACUGUGGACAUUAUAGAUAUGGACUGUGGACAUUCUGGAUAUGGAAAUGGAUAUGGUCUUGGAUUAUCGACUGUGGACAUUCUAGAUAUGGAAAUAGAUAUGGACUGUGGACAUUCUAGAUAUGGAAAUGGAUAUAGAUUUGGGCUAUGGACUGUGGACGUUCUUCACUCACAGUUUGUAUAUAUUCUGUGCCUCCCGCCCCAACAUUCUCGUUUUCUUUGUAUGGGGGAGGGGGAUUUGGGGUCGAUGUGCCUGUUCCGUUGAUCUUUUUUUGUGCAGAAAAGAUGGAAUUGGGAAAAUGCUUGUGCUGUCGUUCUUUUCUUUCUUGGUUUUGAGGCUAUCUGGAGAAUAAUUUCCA